AUUGAACGCUGGCGGCAGGCCUAACACAUGCAAGUCGAACGAGAGGCGGACGGGUGAGUAAUGUCUGGGAAACUGCCCGAUGGAGGGGGAUAACUCCUGGAAACAGUAGCUAAUACCGCAUACCAUCGGAUGUGCCCAGAUUGGAUUAGCCAGUAGGUGUGGUACCGGCUCACCUAGGCGACGAUCCCUAGCUGGUCUGAGAGGAUGACCAGCCAGACGGGAACUGAGACACGGUCCAGACUCCUACGGGAGGCAGCAGUGGGGAAUAUUGCACAAUGGGCGCAAGCCUGAGGAAGCCAUGCCGCGUGUAUGAAGAAGGCCUUCGGGUUGUAAAGUACUUUCAGCGAGGAGUCGUUACUCGCAGAAGAAGCACCGGCUAACUCCGUGCCAGCAGCCGCGGUAAUUC
rnacentral:rRNA from 1 species